rnacentral:misc_RNA from 1 species
AACCUAGCACACCUGCGGUGUGUACCUGCGGAGGGAUCAUUAAAGAGUUUAACUACUCAAACCAUUGUGAACCUUACCUCAACCGUUGCUUCGGCGGGCGGGCCCGGGCCAAGCCCGGCGCCCCCCCGGCCCCUCGCGGGCGCCCGCCGGAGGUUAACCGAACCCUUGAAUUGUAUGGCCUCUCUGAGUCUUCUGUACUGAAUAAGUCAAAACUUUUAACAACGGAUCUCAGAUCGGAAG